rnacentral:rRNA from 1 species
GCAAGAUUAAAACUCAAAGGAAUAGACGGGGACCCGCACAAGUGGUGGAGCAUGUGGUUUAAUUCGAAGAUACGCGAAGAACCUUACCUAGCCUUGACAUUGAUAGAAUCUUCCAGAGAUGGAGGAGUGCCUUUAGGGGAACUUGAAAACAGGUGCUGCACGGCUGUCGUCAGCUCGUGUCGUGAGAUGUUGGGUUAAGUCCCGCAACGAGCGCAACCCUCGUCACUAGUUACUAACAGUUAGGCUGAGGACUCCAGUGAGACUGCCUUCGUAAGGAGGAGGAAGGUGAGGACGACGUCAAGUCAUCAUGGCCCUUACGGCUAGGGCAACACACGUGCUACAAUGGUUAGGACAGUGAGAAGCGAUACCGCGAGGUGGAGCAAAUCUAUAAACCUGGUCUCAGUUCGGAUUGUAGUCUGCAACUCGACUACAUGAAGCUGGAAUCACUAGUAAUCGUAGAUCAGCUAUGCUACGGUGAAUACGUUCCCGGGUCUUGUACUCACCGCCCGUCACACCAUGGGAGUUGAUUUCACCCGAAGCGGGGAAGCUAAACUGGCUACCCUCCACGGUGGAAUUAGCGACUGGGGUGAAGUCGUAACAAGGUA